GAUCAUGGCUCAGGAUGAACGCUAGCUACAGGCUUAACACAUGCAAGUCGAGGGGAAACGACAUCGAAAGCUUGCUUUUGAUGGACGUCGACCGGCGCACGGGUGAGUAACGCGUAUCCAACCUGCCCACCACUUGGGGAUAACCUUGCGAAAGUAAGACUAAUACCCAAUGACGUCUCUAGAAGACAUCUGAAAGAGAUUAAAGAUUUAUCGGUGAUGGAUGGGGAUGCGUCUGAUUAGCUUGUUGGCGGGGUAACGGCCCACCAAGGCGACGAUCAGUAGGGGUUCUGAGAGGAAGGUCCCCCACAUUGGAACUGAGACACGGUCCAAACUCCUACGGGAGGCAGCAGUGAGGAAUAUUGGUCAAUGGGCGAGAGCCUGAACCAGCCAAGUAGCGUGCAGGACGACGGCCCUAUGGGUUGUAAACUGCUUUUAUAAGGGAAUAAAGUGAGUCUCGUGAGACUUUUUGCAUGUACCUUAUGAAUAAGGACCGGCUAAUUCCGUG
rnacentral:rRNA from 1 species